UACGUAGGGUCCGAGCGUUGUCCGGAAUUAUUGGGCGUAAAGAGCUCGUAGGCGGUUUGUCGCGUCUGCUGUGAAAUCCCGAGGCUCAACCUCGGGCCUGCAGUGGGUACGGGCAGACUGGAGUGCGGUAGGGGAGAAUGGAAUUCCUAGUGUAGCGGUGGAAUGCGCAGAUAUCAGGAGGAACACCGAUGGCGAAGGCAGGUCACUGGGCCGCAACUGACGCUGAGGAGCGAAAGCAUGGGGAGCGAACAGG
rnacentral:rRNA from 1 species